rnacentral:tRNA from 1 species
GGAGAGGUGGCUGAGCUGGCUGAAGGCAACGGUUUGCUAAACCGUCGUUGGGUUUAACCCCAACCGAGGGUUCGAAUCCCUCCCUCUCCGCCA